GUGCUCGCUUCAGCAGCACAUAUACUAAAAUUUGGAACGAUACAGAGAAGAUAAGCAUGGCCCUUGCGCAAGGAUGAUGUGCAAAUUUGUGAAGCGUUCCAUAUUUUU
rnacentral:snRNA from 1 species